rnacentral:rRNA from 1 species
UACGUAGGGUGCGAGCGUUGUCCGGAAUUAUUGGGCGUAAAGGGCUCGUAGGCGGUUUGUCGCGUCGGGAGUGAAAACUCAGGGCUUAACCCUGAGCCUGCCUCCGAUACGGGCAGACUAGAGGUAUGCAGGGGAGAACGGAAUUCCUGGUGUAGCGGUGAAAUGCGCAGAUAUCAGGAGGAACACCGGUGGCGAAGGCGGGUCUCUGGGCAGUAACUGACGCUGAGGAGCGAAAGCGUGGGGAGCGAACAGG